CGGGGUGCACCAGGCGCGAAACCUUUACAAUGCACGAAAGUGUGAUAGGGGGAUACUCAGUGCUUACGACUCUGUUGUAGGCUUUUGUCGAUCGUAAACAGAUCGGCGAAUAAGUGGUGGGCAAGACUGGUGCCAGCCGCCGCGGUAACCCCAGCGCCACAAGUGGUUAUCACGAUUAUUGGGCCUAAAGCGUUCGUAGCCGGUUUGGUAAAUCUCUUGUGAAAUUGUUCGGCUUAACCGGACAGCGUGCAGGAGACACUGCCAGACUCGAGACCGGGAGGCGUUAGAAGUAUUCCAUGGGGACUGGUAAAAUGGGAUAAUCCAUGGAAGACUACCGAUGGCGAAGGCAUCUAACGAGAACGGAUCUGACGGUGAGGAACGAAAGCUAGGGGAGCGAACCGGAUUAGAUACCCGAGUAGUCCUAGCCGUAAACGCUGCGAGCAAGGUGUCGCGUAUCUCACGAAGAUGCGCGGUGUCGAAAUGAAGAUGCUAAGCUCGCCGCCUGGGAAGUACGGUCGCAAGACUGAAACUUUAAGGAAUUGGCGGGGGAGCACAAGGGCGAAUCGC
rnacentral:rRNA from 1 species